GUGACCAAGAGCUGACGUGUGCAGAAGUCCUUCUUGUCCUGGUCGUUGUUCCCGUCUGAGUACCAGCUCCCCAUUGCCCUGAGGGCGGGCGGGCCAGAGGCAGAGGGAAGAAAGAGGAGGAGAAGGAAAUUGUCCCGGAUUCUUGCAGCUGUGUCUUCCUGACCACCGCACUGUGUCUAGUGGGUCCGAGCCUCUCCUGGGUGGCCAGUCUUUCCGUAGGUUACGGCACAACGCCAGACAAGAGAAGAGGAAGGAAAUUAACCCUGAUCGGUGAAGGUCGAUUUGAGGGUCUGCUGUAGCAGGUGGCACCGUUUGAAGCUAGGGAGGAAGUUUCCCAGGAUCGGUAGAGAUUGAAAGAUUAUUGGGCGUGGCACACACCCCCAGCCAAGAGAAAAAGAAGCAAACUGCCUAUUUCAAAGAGGUUAGUUCAAGGGUGCUACUUCCUGGAGAUACCAGAGAUUGUGGUGACUGACACCCCAGCCGAAUCU
rnacentral:lncRNA from 1 species